GCCUAGGGCAAAGCUAAUACAGUGUUGUAGAGGAACUGACUCAAACUAUAGUCAUUGUUCCAACCACACACCGUUAUGUGGCCCACUGGCUGGUCAACCUGACAGGGCUGGAGCAAAGCUCUGUGGCAGGACACUGCAGGAUAGCCUGGCCACUCAGAGCACAUGUCCUGUGAUUCUGCAGACUGGAGCAGCCUGAUACAGCAGACCGGGGAAGGUCAUUUGAAGAUCGAGGCAGAAGCUGUCAUGAUUGCAUCACGGGCCAAACAACACCUGGACAGCCAGAAGCUCAAAGAGAGACAGCAUGUGUGUUGAAGAAAGCACCUCAUGGACUGAGAAGCCCACAGCUGAGCCUGAGUAAACUCACUUCAGAUCGUAUUCACUGGGGUUGAAGUCCUGCCGCCGGCAUGUGUCCUCCAGUACCUGGGGAUGAACGGACAGUAAGCCUAUGUGGACCAGAGAAUCACGGCAGACACACAGCCCAGCCCACCGAGCAUCCCACUCAACAGGUCCAAACAAAGCGUACCCACAAAUUUCGUCCGGUUUCCCCUUCCUACAGGGGACCCCUUCCUGACUUUCUCCUCAAACUGUGGCACAGCCUGUCCAUCCCUGGUCCCAUGCUCUGGGCUCUAGGUGGCCUCCAGCCAGAUACAACUGCCUUGCGGGGACUGCUUUGUGUCUCUGGCCACUCUGUGGCCUGGCAGCCUCUGUGCAACUGCUGCAUGACCCGAACCUUUCAAUGCAGGAGCCCAGCUGCAAACGGGUCCUGCUGGAGGGUUACGGGGCUGUACUACGUCCGGCAGAACCUCAUUUCGAACUGUGUUCCCCUGUGGGCUCCUGACACAGAUACGAACAGCGUGCACUUUUGCAACCGAACAGCAGAGGUUCGAUACACAGGUGUAAUUCACACGAGGUCACAAGCGGCGGCAGUCAGAAAAAAAAGCAGUGAAUGACUCAGCAAACUUCACUUCCGGACACACCGACAAGGCCGACCUAGGGUCCGGGGGGCGCCCCUGCUCUUCCCGGUGACCGAGAAGGCGGG